AUUUUGGACAAUGGGCGCAAGCCUGAUCCAGCAAUGCCGCGUGUGUGAAGAAGGCCUUCGGGUUGUAAAGCACUUUUGUCCGGAAAGAAAACCGCCUGGCUAAUAUCCGGGCGGGAUGACGGUACCGGAAGAAUAAGCACCGGCUAACUACGUGCCAGCAGCCGCGGUAAUACGUAGGGUGCAAGCGUUAAUCGGAAUUACUGGGCGUAAAGCGUGCGCAGGCGGUUCGCUAAGACAGAUGUGAAAUCCCCGGGCUUAACC
rnacentral:rRNA from 1 species